GACCCGGUAGCGGAUGGUCCGCGCCUGCAUUCCAUGCAGGUGGUUUAACAGUUCGCCAUUCUGCAGGUGUUGCUCGUUCGAAUCGAGCCCGGGUCU